CAGAUCUCUGAGAUGAAAAAUGUGUAAGUACCUCCCCACACUCAGCUGAUGAGUGUAGAUAGACAUACUGGUCUGGAGCAUCCAGUGGUCAUUGCCAAAUUCUUCUAUUACAUCAAAGGCCACAGGGUGGCAAAGAUUGCUUGGUGCUUGGCUUCUGCACAGUGAGAUGACAGUCUGGAAACUGAGGUCCUCAGCACUUGGAUUGGUGGAGCCAAAUGGAGCUCCCACUCCAGCAGCAUGAACUCCACCGUUUGGACAUGCAGGUUACAGGCCCUUCCCACAGGAGGAACACAGGACAAGGAACAAAACAAAGCUUCAGAUGCUACAGCAGAAGAUGGUCUUCCAUGUGGAGUCCAUAAAAGGCCAGGUCUUCAUGUGUUCCAGGUCUUCAGAGCCUAAAAUGGACUGAUGGCACUUCAAGGCCCUGAUGAUGAUUCAUGCUGCAAAUAAACUUCGGAAGGCAGCAGGUGCCAGCACUCAUCAGAGGAUGAAGUGCAAUUGUUUUCUAGUCAACAGAGUAAUUUGAAAAGUAUUUGUGCCACCUUGCUAAAAGCACAAACUGUGUCACAUUUAUUUUUAGGUGCAGAUAUCUGUCCAGGAAGAAACCACAACCAGUUAUGUCACACAUCAAUAAGAGCUACCUGCUGUUAUCAUCACAGAGUUUACUACAGUGCUUUUUUA